UAGGCACUUGGCCAAGGGCAUGGUGUUAAAAAUCUUGGCGUUAGGGAAGCAGAUUCCACACCCCGAGGAAGGAGCACGACAGCGAAGUGGGGGCCUAGCCCAACCUUCUGAUCCCAGCGACAUGGCACCUUUUACUGAAAGCAAAUAUGGCUCCGAGUGCAGUUCAAACAACAAAGGCUGGGCGGAUCGUGUUACCCCGAGAGACCACCUUCCUCUGGAAGUCCCCCUGAGUCGUGGGGCUGAGCCACCUGGGUUUCUGAGAAAAUCACUGGUGACAUUCAAAGCUCGAAGACGAUGUCCGGGUUAUAAAGAAAGGAGAAGUGAUUUGGAUCUGGAAAAGGAGCUGAUGAUGCUCAGGCCAUUUUGAAAUGGCCUUUUAUCUUCCCAGUCACCUUUCUGGUUGUCCUUGGAGAAAAGCUGAUGGGGCUGACUGGCAGGUGACAGAUCCAAGAAAUUCUAGAGGGCAAAGCCACCGUGUGUGGCUUGCAGCUGUAUCUCCAUCACAAAGUGGAUGUACAUUCGUGGGUAGCUGAACUGAGGGUUGACCACCUCUCCUAGAUAAGUCCUGCACUCCACCAUGUUUACUUGUCUCAAGUCAGGUGUUUUGAUCCUAGUGGGAGGCCCAUGAAGACCUUUUUCAGGAUAUUCACACAUUUGCAACUGUAAGCUGGACUUCCAAACAUUUUUCCUUCUUUUUUUUAAAGCAGCUGUACUAAAACAUUAAAACAAGUUGCAGAUAGAAAUAUGAUGACUCUUUCUCAGGUCUUUAUCAUAUUCAUCUUAAAACAAAGUAUGUUGCUUUCAGAAAAAAAAAAAUAAUUUACCAGCACCAGAGUUAUAAAAGUAAGCAGGAGAAGGAUGCUGGCCAAGAGGUGCCUUACUUCACCUGGGAUAGGAGGUCAGGGAAGUCUUCCCUAUGAAUGAUAUUGAGCUUUGAUAAAUUUGAAGAAAAAGUUACUACUGGAAGGCCAAGGGGAAGAGAGAGAUAGGAAAGAGAAUUCCAAGCAGAAGGAACAGCCUUGCCAAGUUGUGAAGGUGUGGAAAUGCAUGACCUGUUCAAAAUAGCUAAAGUAAGUAUGUUGGCCUGGAAAGUAGUGAGAUGAAAAGCUUUCCUAUAGAACAAAAACCAUCAGUGAGAGAAAUGUAAUGAAAGAAAAAACCUUCAGUUACAUUGGCAAGAGAUGUUUGAAAUACCCAGGGAUAAAAUUCAGUAUGAAGAAAACAACGUAUACUUACUCCUGGACUAGGAAAAAAACAAAAACCAACUAGUGUAAGGGAAGAAGCACCGUGUCCUUAAUGGUCAGCUUCCAUUUUGUAAAGAUGUCACUUCUUCCAGAAAAAGCCCUAUAAAUUCAGUGCGGUUUCCA
rnacentral:lncRNA from 1 species